UAUAAAUUAUUGUGAGUUAUUUGAGAUUAGCGUCACCGGGAACCCUUUUACCUGGUUGAAUGGUAGAGCUGAUGAAGAAUAUAUUUUCAAAACGCUAGACAGAAUCAUGAAUUAGGCAGUAUAGGACAUAUUUGGGAAUAUAAAAUGUAAUAUUUGACUAUAACUGAGUCUGAUCAUGCCCCUUUAAUGCUCAAGGAAAAAUCCAGUAAUUCUCAAAACCUCUUAGGUUUUUAAAGUUCUGAAUAGAAAAAGAUGAUUUUAAAACGUGGUUAGGCAUAUUCGGAGGGCAGAUAAAUAUGGGGAUUGCUUCAAAAGAUUGAAAUACAAGCAGAAGAGAGCUAAAUAUGCACUGUCUAAGUGGAGUAGAGACAUGUUUGGGGAUCUAUUUAAACAACUAAGCAUCAGGGAAGAGAUUGUGAAGUUAAAGGAGGGCCUAUUUGAUGAACAACCAAAUACAACGAAUAUGGCUAUUUUAUAACAUAUACAAGUUGAACUAAAGUAGUAUCUCCACUGCAAGGAGGAAUUUUUCAUACAAAUGACUAGUAUCCAGUGGUUCACUAAAAGGGGAUAAAAAUAUAAAUUUUUUCCAUUGUCUGGUGAAAGAAGAAGAAAGAAAUUACAAUUGAAGAGAAGUUUAAAGCAUGAUGGUACUUGGGCUGAAGGAGAUGAGCAGAUUGCAAAUGAAGCAAUGAACUUUUUCCAAAACCGAUUCUCAGGAGAGCUCUUUACUGACGAAUAUUGUUAUAACAUAUCCCAUCAUUAAUUAUCAAAAAAGAUAAUAUUAUGCUCAUGUAACGCCCCAAAAAUGGGUCCCGAGCUCAAGACUACGAGUAGCCUUAAGCUAGCCUUGUUUGCUUUCUACUAAGUUUGAAUCUCAUAAUAAGGUAAUAUAGAUAUCAAAAUCAUACUAAAAGCGGAAAUUAUCUGAAUGUAAUAUCCGAAAAUAAUGUCUGGAACCUUAAUACUGAAUAAUCUGAAUUAAAACUAGCAGUCUGACAAUCCUCUACUACUCCUAAAUAGAGAGCCACUGGGAUACACCCCCAGUUGACUCGAACUGUCUAAAAAGAAUACUGAAUCAUCUAAGCUGAAAAUCUGAAUAACUAAGUCCCUGAACUAUGAUGACUCACCAACUGUCGGGCUGUAGAUGGAGAUGCUCGAAAUUACUCAUGUUGUUGGAACUGAGCACCUGCACCUACAUUAUGAGAUAAUGUAACACAUAGACGUAUAUGUGGAUCAGUACUUUUAGGAUGUACUGAGUAUAUGACUGCAAGCAUAAUUGAUAAUGCCUAGUGGUAAAAAAAUGACACCUUAGUUUAAUGGAUGGGAAUGUGUAAAUGAUUUUAAUUGAGCUUAAUGGGGUUGUGUAGCUCACGCUGAAGGUCUAAGUCUCAGGGAAGACGAAUACCGAAAAUUACAUUUACUGACGUGGGGGUCUUUAUGGUCGUGUGCAUAGUUCACACUUGAUAUGUUUAUAUCUUAGAUUGGUAUGGGGUCAUGGAUUCCCUGACCUUCUUUGGAUUUCCUGGUUCUUGCGGCUACACGCAUUAGUGCCCUUCCGAUGGGAGGAGCCGGACCUGUUAUCCUGUGGGUGUCUUUAGUUUGGUUGGAGAUACACACUCCACGAUAAUGUGUUAAAUCUCAUGCUAAGCCCUAUUCCCUAUCCCAACAUUUUAUAUAUCUGUAUAUAUGCAUGUAUGUGAACAUGUACAUUGAGUAUGGACUUGAUUUUUAAAUAACAUUACUUUAUUCCUAUCCCGAGUUACAUGCUAGAGAUCUCCUCGCUAACCAUCCUAAGAUGCUAUAUUGUUUUAUAAUGUAUGGUCCGAGGAUACCUCUUUUGCCCAUGUGCAGCGUUAGGUGACCGGGUUCGUCAGUUGGUUCGCGGUGAAGUGGUGAAUUUCCAUCCUCCGAAAAACUUAGCCAUUCCAUCGAUUUAUUUCCAUAUUAUAGAAUUAAAGAGUUCACAUUAACAUUAUCAUUAUAAUUGUCACUAUCAUGGUCAGGGGCAUGUCCCGAUCUAGUUUGAUAUUCGGAUUGUUUUAGAGACUUUUGUGAAAAACUAUGGAUUGGGAUAUUUGUUUGGAAUCGUAGAAUCUUUGUCUUGGUGUAUUUAUCUUUUAUAUGUUUGUUUGGAUUGCUUUCACUAUUAUACUAUAUUGUGUUCAGAUUGGCUAGGCUCAGUGGGUGGCUUUCUGUCCUCGGUGGACUUGAGAUACCCGUCACGACUAGGCCCUGAUUUGGGUCGUGACAGUAAGGGUUGUUAAAACUCAAUUGAUUUUUCAUAGAGUUCAAAUGCUUUACAGACAUCACAAAUUAUUUUUAAUUGCCUUGAUAGAUCCUUUCGAAGACAUAAGGAAAAUUCAAGAUACAAAAGAAGGUUGGGGAUGCAGUAUGUGAAUUAUAAUCAAAAUGGUCAGAUAUAGUUUUUUGUGCAAGAGCAUAUUCAAGUGGGAGUGAUUAUCGAUUUUGAGCAACAACUUUCAUUACACCUCACAGUGGAAUAUGAUAAGUAGACGAUGACUACAGUGGUAUAUUAUACGUUAGAGAGUUUAGUCUGUGCGAUGAUUUGUAUGCCAUUGGGUACAAUCUUUCCUUUCCUUGGUUAUAGGGGCAGAGUUGAAUGUCAUUUUAUAUGAUGAAGAAAAAUUGGUGGGCUACCUGUAUAUCCUUUCACAUUUGAGGACUUCAGCUUCUGUAUAAAUUAUUGUGAGUUAUUUGAGAUUACCGUCACUGGGAACCCUUUCACCUGGUUGAAUGGUAGAGCUGAUGAAGAAUAUAUUUUCAAAACUCUAGAUAGAAUCAUGAUUUAGGCUGUAUAGGACAUAUUUGGGAAUAUAAAAUGUAAUAUUUGGCUAUAACUGAGUCUGAUCAUGCCCCUUUAAUGCUCAAGGAGAAAUUCAGUAAUUCUCAAAACCUCUUAGGUUUUUUAAGUUCUGAAUAGAAAAAGAUGACUUAAAGGAGGGCCUAUUUGAUGAACAACCAAAUGCAACGAAUAUGGCUAUUUUAUAACAUAUACAAAUUGAACUAAAGUAGUAUCUCCACUGUAAGGAGGAAUUUUUCAUACAAAUGGAUAGAAUCCAGUGGUUCACUAAAAGGGGAUAAAAAUAUAAAUUUUUUCCAUUGUCUGGUGAAAGAAGAAGAAAUAAAUUACAAUUGAAGAGAAGUUUAAAGCAUGAUGGUACUUAGGCUGAAGAAGAUGAGCAGAUUGCUAAUGAAGCAAUGAAUUUUUUCCAAAACCGAUUCUCAGGAGAGCUCUUUACUUACGAACAUUGUUAUAACAUAUCCCAUCAUUAAUUAUUAAAAAAGGUAACAUUAUGCUCAUGUAACGCCCCAAAAAUGGGUCCCGAGAUGUCACACCGUGCUCAAGACUACGAGUAGCCUUAAGCUAACCUUGUUAGCCUUCUACCAAGUUUGAAUCUCAUAAUAAGGUAGUAUAGAUAUCAAAAUCAUACUGAAAGCGGAAACUAUCUGAAUUUAAUAUCCGAAAAUAAUGUCUGGAACCUUAAUACUGAAUAAUCUGAAUAAAAACUAGUAGUCUGACAAUCCUCUACUACUAAUAAAUAGAGAGCCAUUGGGAUACACCCCCAGCUGACUCGAACUGUCUAAAAAGAAUGCUGAAUCAUCUAAGCUGAAAAUCUGAAUAACUAAGUCCCCGAACUAUGAUGACUCACCAACUAUCAGACUGUAGAUACUCGAAAUUACUCAUGCUGUUGGAACUGAGCACCUGAACCUACAUUAUGAGACAAUGUAACACAGACGUAUAUGUGGAUUAGUACUUUUAGGAUGUACUGAGUAUAUGGUUGCAAGCAUAAUUGAUAAUGCCUAGUGGUAAAAAAAUGACACCUUAGUUUAAUGGAUGGGAAUGUGUAAAUGGUUUUAAUUGGGCUUAAUGGGGUUGUGUAGCUCAAGCUGAAGGUCUUAGUCUCAGGGAAGAUGAAUACUGAAAAUCACAUUUACCGAUGUGGGGGUCUUUAUGAUCUUGUGCAUAGUUCACACUUGAUAUGUUUAUAUCUUAGAUUGGUAUGGGGUCAUGGAUUCCCUGACCUUCUUUGGAUUUCCUGGUUCUUGCGGUUACACGCAUUGGGGCCCUUCCAAUGGGAGGAGCCGGACCUGUUAGCCUGUGGGUGCCUUUAGGUUGGUUGGAGAUACACACUCCAGGAUAAUGUGUUAAAUCUCAUGUUAAGUCCUAUUUCCUAUCUCAACAUUUUAUAUAUCUGUAUAUAUGCAUGUAUGUGAACAUGUACAUUGAGUAUGGACUUGAUUUUUAAAUAACAUUACUUUAUUCCUAUCUCGAGUUACAUGCUAGCGAUCUCCUUGCUAACCAUCCUAGGACGCUACAUUGUUUUAUAAUGUAGGGUCCGAGGAUACCUCUUUUGCCCAUGUGUAGCUUUUGGUGACCGGGUUCGUCAGUUGGUUCGCGGUGAAGUGGUAAACUUCCAUCCUCCAAAAAACUUAGCCAUUCCAUCGAUUUAUUUCCAUAUUAUAGAAUUAAAGAGUUCACAUUAGCAUUAUCAUUAUAAUUGUCACCAUCAUGGUUGGGGGCAUGUCCCGAUCUAGUUUUAUAUUCAGAUUGUUUUAGAGGCUUUUGUGAAAACCUAUGGAUUGGGAUAUUUGUUUGGAAUCGUAGAAUCUUCGUCUUGGUGUAUUUAUCUUUUAUAUGUUCGUUUGGAUUGCUUUCACUAUUAUACUAUAUUGUGUUCUGAUUGGCUAGGCUUAGUGGGUGGCUUUCUGUCCUCGAUGGACUUGAGAUACCCGUCACAACUAGGCCCUGAUUCAGGUCGUGAUAGUAAGGGUUGUUAAAAUUCAAUUGAUUUUUCAUAGAGUUCAAAUGCUUUACAGACAUCACAAAUUCUUUUUAAUUGCCUUGAUAGAACCUUUCUAAGACAUAAGGAAAUUCAAAGAUACAAAAGAAGGUUGGGGAUGCAGUAUGUGAAUUAUAAUCAAAAUGGUCAGAUAUAGUUUUUUGUGCAAGAGCAUAUUCAAGUGGGAGUGAUUGUCAAUUUUGAGCAACAACUUUCAUUACACCUCACAGUGGAAUAUGAUAAGUAGACGAUGACUACAGUGGUAUAUGCCAAAUAUUAUACUUUAGAGAGUCUAGUCUAUGCGAUGAUUUGUAUGCCAUUGGGUACAAUCUUUCCUUUCCUUGGUUAUAGGGGCAGAGUUGAAUGUCAUUUUAUAUGAUGAAGAAAAAUUGGUGGGCUACCCGUAUAUCCUUAUGCAUUUGAGGACUUUAGCUUAUGUAUAAAUUGUGAGUUUUUUGAGAUUAGUGUCACCGGGAACCCUUUCACCUGGAUGAAUGGUAGAGCUGAUGAAGAAUAUAUUUUCAAAACGCUCGACAGAAUCAUGAAUUAGGCUGUAUAGGACAUAUUUGGGAAUAUAAAAUGUAAUAUUUGACUAUAACUGAGUCUGAUCAUGCCCCUUUAAUGCUCAAGGAGAAAUUCAGUAAUUCUCAAAACCUCUUAGGUUUUUAAAGUUCUGAAUAGAAAAAGAUGAUUUUAAAAAGUGGUUAGGCAUAUUCGGAGGGCAGAUGAAUAUGGGGAUUGCUUCAAAAGAUUGAAAUACAAGCAGAAGAGAGCUAAAUAUGCACUGUCUAAGUGGAGUAGAGACAUCUUUGGGGAUCUAUUUAAACAACUAAGCAUCAGGGAAGAGAUUGUGAAGUUAAAGGAGGGCCUAUUUGAUGACAACCAAGUGCAACGAAUAUGGCUAUUUUAUAGCAUAUACAAGUUGAACAAAAGUAAUAUCUCCACUGUAAGGAGGAAUUUUUCAUACAAAAGGCUAGUAUCCAGUGGUUCACUAAAAGGGGAUAAAAAUAUAAAUUUUUUCCAUUGUCUGGUGAAAGAAGAAGAAAGAAAUUACAAUUGAAGAGAAGUUUAAAGCAUGAUGGUACUUGGGUUGAAGGAGAUGAGCAGAUUGCUAAUGAAGCAAUGAACUUUUUCCAAAACCGAUUCUCAGGAGAGCUCUUUACUGACGAACAUUGUUAUAACAUAUCCCAUCAUUAAUUAUUAAAAAAGAUAACAUUAUGCUCAUGUAACGCCCUAAAAAUGAGUCCCGAGACAUCACACGGUGCUCAAGACUAUGAGUAGCCUUAAACUAACCUUGUCUACCUUCUAUUAAGUUUGAAUCUCAUAAUAAGUAAUAUAGAUAUCAAAAUCAUACUGAAAGCAGAAACUAUCUGAAUGUAAUAUCCGAAAAUAAUGUCUGGAACCUUAAUACUGAAUAAUCUGAAUUAAAACUAUCAAGACUACGAGUAGCCUUAAGCUAACCUUGUCUGCCUUCUACUAAGUUUGAAUCUCAUAAUAAGGUAAUAUAGAUAUCAAAAUCAUACUGAAAACAGAAACUAUUUGAAUGUAAUAUCCGAAAAUAAUGUCUGAAACCUUAAUACUGAAUAAUCUGAAUUAAAACUAGUAGUCUGAUAAUCCUCUACUACUAAUAAUAAAUCGAGGGGCAGAGUAGAAUAACUUUAACAUACAAAUUUGAUGCCUCAAGUUACACAGUUAGAUUCGCUGAACAGAUUCGUAAUUUCUCCUCCAAAGGCUAGAUAGACGGAAAGAAUGAUCCUCAUUUAGAUGACUAUUAGAGAUAUUGUCUUGUUGCUGGAAAAAAGGCCCUCAAUGAUGGAAAACAAAAUUUGGGUCAGGUUAUGGGUUGGUCCAAAUUGGUGGGUCGGGUUAUGGGUUGGUCCAAAUUGGUGGGUCGGGUUAUGGGUUGUAACGGAGGGUAUAUUUGGACCUUUUUGCAAGGUUAAGGGGUAUAUUUGCUCUUAAACUUUAAGAGCGAGAGCAUAUUUGGGCCAAACUUGUAACAGAGGGUAUAUUUGGACCUUUUCGCAAAGUUUAGGAGUAUAUUUGCUCCUAAACUUUAACAGCAAGGGCAUAUUUAGACCAAACUUGUAACGGAGGGUAUAUUUGGACCUUUUUGCAAAGUUAAGAGGUAUAUUUGACCCUUUACCCUUUGUAAAAUAAUGCAUGCCAAAUGUAAAUGACUCACAUAAGCUGGAAUAUCUGAAAUACUGAAAUCUAUAAUCAUGAAUAACAAAUAAUUAGUGAGUCAUAACAUUUAGUUCUAAAAGUCGUACUAGUAUUAUGUCUGUAAAUCAUGCUGCCUAAGUGUAGAAAGGACUCACUUCUGUAUCUGAAAUCUGAAAGCUGAAAUCUAUAGCUAAUAUCUUUUGGUAAAGCAUAAUCUGAAUAAAGUUGUGAGCCUUUACACGUAGUUUUCUAAAAGUUUUUUUAUUACUAGUAGGAAGAAUACUUUAUCUAAAGGGAGGUUCUUCUAACCGACAUAAACCAUGUGAGCUAACAUGGAGUCCAACGUCUUGCUCCCCUAUGGGGAAAACCUCACGAUAGGGAGAGGUGUCAACUCUUGCCAAGGAGUAUAACCUAAUCUAAGUGAUCAUAUAUGUGUCUGUCAUCCAUAUAGAAAUGGGAAUAAUCUGAAUCUGUACCUACGUUGGCUACGUAGUUCUGUGGAAAAUAGGGCACGCUAAUCCCACACUUCUAGCUCAGUGCUAAAUACUACUCCCUUUUAAUCUGUAUGCACAUUCUGUUGGAAAUCCACUUUAAAAGCUAGCAUAAGGGUUAUUACAGAACCAAUUAUGCAUUUAUCUGAUUCAACCUGUGAGUAAAACUAUUCUGAUUUUUGAAAUUUGUAAUAAAUCUGUAAAGUGGAUUCCAAAUCUUAUCUGAGGAUCAAAAGAUCAAGGCUUUUUGAAAAUCUGAAAAUAAACUGAUCAUCUAAUGCUUAAAGCGUGAUCUUUCUUGAAAUAAUAAUAUUCAAUCUAGGGAUGAUAACCUAUGCAUCAAUCUCAUGUCAAAACAUCAUAAUAAUCAUGCUUGGUAAUGAAAACAAUGAUAGUUCAUCUCAAAAUCUGGAAAUUACUGCAAUAGGCAUGAAAAUAUGAAAAUAGUCAUGCAAUUCAACUUCUAAAAAACUUGAAAUCUCUUAAUCUUGCAAUUAGCAAUCCUAAUUCAAAAAACUCAUGUAUAAUCAUUCAAAAUCAUAUAAAUUUAAAAUAAAAGCUUGGUUUUGGGAACAAGGAUAAAAGAGGAUCCUUGUUUAUAAACCCUACAUACCUUAAUUGAUGAAAUUUCUAAGAAAGCUUGAACUUGAAUCUCUAUUUGAGCCUUUGAAGAUGAACUCUUGGUUCUCUUGAUUUGAGAAUCCUCAAUUUUGAGUUUUCUUGGAGAAACAAUGGAGGAAAUUGAUUUCUUGGAGAGUAAGGUUUUGAACUUUAGGGUUUUCCUUUGAGAGAGAAUGGAUGAAAAUAAACAUAAAGUGCUUAGAAUAGACUUAAUUCCUUGUUUUGGACGAAUUGGGGCUUGGGAUUUGACCAAAGUACCCCUCUUAAAAUUUAAUCGGAACUGGAAAAAAGAUAAAUUUUCCGAAUUUGCAUGCCACUGCAACGCUCCACUAUCGCGGUGGAUCAUUGGAAUUUGACAACUGAAAACUGGACAUUCUACGCGACGCGGAGCUAUCGCGGUGCACUACUGAAAUGCCAUUUUGGCCAUCACCGUGACGUGCCACUAUCGCAGUGAGCCACUGGAAAUUGACAAUUGGGAAAUAAGGCUUCACCACGACACGGGCUUAUCGCAGAGGUCCACUUAAACCAAACAAUUGCCAUUUUGCAAGUAACCGCGGCGUGAUGCUUCUCCAGUUGGGAUACUACUUUACUAAAAAUGCCAUAACUUCUCAACCGAGUAUCGGAUUUGGGAGAAAUUGGUAUUGAUGGAAAGCUUAUUCAAUUAUAUACACAAUGGUUUCACAUGUAACAAAAAUUAUUCAUUUUUAAAGCUAGCCUUUGACAUUCUAGGUGUUAAAUUGAGAUGGAAAAGUACGGGGUAUUACAGCCCAACGGAUUACCUACAAAUGUAAAGAUCAGAAGGACAAUAUUUGAGUUAAAUGGUGAUAGUGCAUGUGGUCUUGAUGGUUUCAUUGGUUGAUUCUAUCAGAAUUGUUGGGAUAUUGGUGGGGGAGAUAUUAGUGACAUUGUUCAUGCUUUCAUAAAAGGCUCCACUUUACCUAAAUCAAUUUCUCACACUAAUUUGGCGUUACUGCCUUAGAAAGAUGUCAUUCAUAUAUUUUCAAACCUAAGACCAAUUAGCUUUAAGUAAAUUUUGGAAUAAAGUAAUCUCCAGUCUUUCGUAUGAUAGGAUGGACCUUUUCUUCUAGGCUGAUUUCACAUUUCGCAGAACCAAUCAAACUUUGUGAAUGGAAGGAGCAUCACUAAAAAUAUUUUAUUAGCUCAAGAGAUUAUUUCUAAUAUUAGAAAAAAAGGAAACCAACAAAUAUAGUCAUUAGGCUUGACAUGGUAAAGACUUAUGACAAAGUUGAAUGGAAAUUUUUGAUUAAAGUCUUGGAAAAAAUAGGUUUAAUAAAAUAAUUAUGGAUAAGAUUUGGAGAAUUGUGGCUGAUAAUUGGUAUUCUAUUCUAAUUGUUGGACAAGCUCGUAAUUUUUUCCAUUCCACCGAAGGUGUCAAAUAAGGGGAUCCUUUAUCCCCUUUAUUAUUUAUUUUGUCUGUUGACGUGUUAUCUAAAACCACGAAUCAACUAUUUUAUAGUAGAGAAUUCAAGGGUAUUGGAAUACAUAAAUGGAGUGAAAGUUUAAAUCACAUGACCUAUGUUGAUGACAUGAGAAAGUCAUUACAAUUAAAUUUGAAGGUUUUGGAUCAAUAUUAAAUGUAGUCAAGUCAGAAAAUCAACUAAGAAAAACAUUUUUUCUUUAUGUAUAGGUAGGCUGCAACUAAUGUUGUCCAAGAAGUGGAGGUUGUAACUAGUUUUAUAGGGGUAAAUUCCCAAUGAUGUAUUUGGGGUUUCCUAUUGGUCAUGCAAGAAGCAAGACUUUGUUGAACUUAUCAAGAAGAUGCAGAAUAACUGAAUGUAUGGAAAGGUAAGUUACUAUCAUUUGGUGGAAAAUCUGUCCUAAUAAACCAUGUUUCUUCGAGAGUAUCCCUAUCGAGUUAUUGUCUGCUAUCAUUUAUCCUAAAUGUGUAUUGAAGAUUCCAUAGAAUCUUUUCUAAGUUUUUAUGGAAUUUUAUGAAAGAAGAAAAGGCAAAGAACCGAGUGUCAUAGCAGAAUAUCUAUCUUCCCUAAAUUAAAGGUGGUUUAGGUUUUAGAUAUCUUUAUGAUGUGUCAGAGGCUUUAUUUGCUAAAUUGUGGAGGAUUUUUAGGACUAAGUCCUUAUGGGCCAAUUUUAUAAGGAACAAAUAUUGGAAAAGGCUUCUCAAAUAUGGAAACAUAUGCUAUAUAAUGACCCUUAGGUUAUUUUCUGUAUUUCCAUACUAUUGCAAUGUCUAGAGGUUUUCCAUAGUUUCCUCAAGUUAUUUAUGACUUGCUGGAGAUGACAAUUUAGUUACUGGAGAGUUCGUUAAGUUUUUAGAGUCAAUUCCCUAUUUUGAAGUUCUCACUGUUGAGAAUUGGUUAUCGGGCUUAAACUUUAGGUUAACAUCGUCAUAUACCAAUUCUAAUAGUUUUGCUAGAUCUAAAAUGUUGAUUUUAGGCUUGGGGGACCUUUGGUUUGGGUCCUAAGGAUUUCAAACUCGUGUUAGGCUAUUGGGUGGAUUUUGGUUAAAAUAGUCAUUGAGUGUGCGAUCCACAUUUUAUUGAAAUGAACUCAGCUGGAAAUUUUGAUGGCACAGUUGAGAGAAUAUUGAUUUUGGUAGGGUAGCAUAGCUCAUUUGCAUUCACAUAAUUCUGAAUGAAUCCUGAAGGUCCACUCAGAAACUUGACAAAUACCAAGUGUAGUUGGUGCAGCAUCAGCUGGUGCAGCGCAAAAAUAGCCUUCACAUUCAUGAUGGCCAUGGAAAAUUGGCUACCACAAUCAUGAUGACCUUGGCCGCAUCUGCGAAGGCCAAGUUUACUAGCCAUCGCAUUUGCGAGCUUGCCUUCGCAUUCACAAAGAGUAUUCUCUGGGUCGAACUAGGCAUUCUUUCUUGAGAUCGAGGUGGACCGGCCGUGUUCGUGAAGGGUAAGUUGGAUUGAGCCCUGCAUUUGCAGAGGGGUCCUCACCUUCACGAUGAAGGGACCCCAAGCAGUAUAUAUGCUGCCAAACCCAAUUUUUCUCCCAUUUUCAAGUCUCAACUUCCAUUAAUAUCCCUAGAGAGCUAAGAGAGUGAGAGGAUCGAUACAUGGGUGUUUAGGGUGAGUUAGAGAGUUUGGGGGAUGUUUUUCCAUCAAGAAUUAUUGUAAAUUUUCUUAUAUUUCUUAUUUAAGUCUCUACUUUAAUCUCGAAAUCCCUAACACUUUGUGGGCUGAUUUGAGGGAGCAAUUUUGCUCGUAUUCAUCAUUUUUUUAGGAUAAAUGAUCCUUGAGCCUAGAAGAGCGUUUUGGCGGUUUCAAAGUUGUGAUCUUGCAACUAGCCCCACAUGGGAUUUUUAGCUCAAUUUCGGAACCAAAGAAUUUAUAUGCAAUAUGGGUAUUUUUAUUCUUGUAUUAAUGUGUAUAUCAUUAUUUUGAUAGUGUAGCAUCGUACAAAGGCUUCCUGGAAGGUAAAAUCUCUAAUUUAGUGGAUUUUCUUGGGCAUUCUUCGAUGUACAGGUAGGUUAGGCUUACUUUUCUCAUAUAUUGAGCUAUAUUAUUGUACUGGUGUGGUCUUAUGCUAGAUUUGGGUUGGAAAUUAUGACUUGAUUGUAUGUUUAGCGAAAUUUGGAAUAUUUAGCCGAUUAGUGAAUCGUGUUUAGGUAGAAUUGACCUGUUCAUCCUUUCCUUGGAUUAAACUAAGACAUUAGGACAUAUUGGACUUAUUUUACUCCUUGUAGUAGGUCUUGGAAGCCUUAGUCUAGUUUUUGGUAGAAAUUGUCUUAGUAUGAAUUUUUGGGUUUUAGUAGCGGGCUCCGUCGACCCUCUUUAAGGUCAAACAUCUGAAGUAGCUCCCGAUAGAUCUAGGAGGCCUUCUCUCAUUAUUAUAUAAAUAUUCUUGGACCCUAAGAUGAUUUAGUCAAUUUUCAAUUAUCGACUAGAUUUAGUAACCUGUAUUUACUUUAAAGACUGGUUCGAGCCCAACACUUACUAUUCAUUUAUGAUGCUUAAAGACCAAUUUGAGUUUGACAUAUAUUAAUCACUUAUUAUAUAAAAGUUUGGUUUGAGUUUGACAAUUAUGGUUCACUUAUGAUGACUAGGGAUCCGGUUCGAGUCCAAUGUUUGUUGUAUGAAAGGAUUAACAGAUAUGGUUUUGGUGGCCAAUUACUUUAUAAUUACUAUUGUUUUUAUUUUUCCCUUAAUUACGUCCAUUGAGCUUAUGGAGACUCGUUUGGAUUAUCCUUCUCUUGUUUGCGCCUUCUAGGCUUAUGGGGGUCAAGUUAGGCUAUAGUUGACUUGUAUUCUUUUGAUAUUAUCUAUUGUAUUAUUUAUUAUCUAUCAGCUGGAGUGUUGUUUCAGGUUUUCCCUUUUUAUCCCUGACUUUAUUUUACAUUCACGCAUUUUAUUAUGCUUUUAUUAUGAUUUAGCUUAGUUGACUGAUAUGCCUACUGGGUACCCAUUGGUUUUGUACUCCUACUAUGCUUCUGCAUCUUUUUCUAAUACAGAUCCAAGUACUAGCUAUCACCACUGACAUUCUAUCCAGCACAAUCUAGAGUUCGAUGAUAGGGUGAGCUUUUGGAGUCGGAGUUGAUUCUCUCUCCUUAUGUUAGUUUUGGAAAAUCUUUUUGACACUAUUUGUAUAUUGACAUUAUUCAUUCUCUUAUUCUUUUGAUUAGUGACUCUUACCGACCUUACUAGGUCGUGAGAUACUUUUUUGCUCUUUCUCUCUCUUAUUUAUAUAUAUGCCAUCCUUUUAAUAUUAUAUCGCCUACAAUCUAUUUGUAUGCUUAAUUCUCAAUAGUCAUCAUACCUUCCACCAAAUAGCCUAUUAUUUGUCAUUCUGAGUUGUGAUUUGGCUUACCUACUGGUUGGUUAAUGUAAUACCCCAAACUUUUUCAAGCUUAAAUUCAUUCAUAGAAUGUUAUGGGAUAUCUUCCAAAAUGAUUAAUAUUUGUUUCGCAUAGAAUUUUCUAGAUUUCAACUUUUCAUCAUGUGGGAAAUUAAAUAAGCUUUCCAUCGAUAUCAAAUUUGCCCAAAUCCGACACUCGGUGAAGAAGUUAGAGCACUUUUAAGUUGACAGCGUGCCAACUAGGCAGUCACCGCGUCGCGGUGAAGGACAAUUUCAUAAUCUUCACUUACCAGUGGACCACCGCGAUGUUGGCACGUCGCGGCGAGGUCCAAAUUCCCAUUUGUUAAUUUCCAGUGGACCUCUGUGAUAUUGGUGCGUCGCGGAGAGGUCCAUUUUUCCAAUUGUAGAAUUCCGUAGCCUAACGCGAUAGGGGCGUAUCGCACCGAAGGCCAAAAUGGCAUUUCUAUAGGGCACCGCAAUGGUGGCGCAUCGCGUUGAAGUUUCAGGUCCCAAUUGUCAAAACCUAGUGGGACAGCGCAAUAGCUCCGCAUCGCGGUGGACCCCAAUUUCCCAUUCGUCAGUUUUCAGUGAGCCAGCGCGAUAGUGGCACAUCGCGGUGGCCUAUUAAAUCGGGACCCAGUUACGUUUUUUUUUUCAGUUUCGUUUAGAAGUGAAAAAGGGCAUUUUGGACUUUUUCCCAGCACCCAAUUCCAUCUAAACACAAGAUUUAGGGCUAUUACAAACAUCUUAUGGUAUAUUUCUCAAGAUUUCUCUCAACUAAAAACCCUAAGCUUCAACAAUCAACCUCAAGAAUCUCAAGAUUCCACCAUCCUUUUUCCAAAUUAAUUCAAGAUUCCCAACACAAGAAUUCCAAGAACCAUAAUUCAAGAGUACAAAUAGAGUCUCAAAAGCAAGGUUGUUCAUCUAGUUCAACAUCCAAGGUAUGUGGGGUUUGAACAAGGACAAGUCUUUCGUUCUUGUGCCCAAAAAACUUGAAUUUUAUUAAAGAUUACAUGAUUUACAAGUUGGGGUUUAUACCCAAAGCAUCUUGUUUUAAGUUUAUGAAGAUAUAAGUGAUUUAAGCCUUGAAUUGCAUAUUUAUCCCACCUAUUUAUGCUUUGAAUUGAGGAUUUAUAUCAUGAAUUGCACAUUCCCAUUGUGAAUUGAUAUUUUCAAGUGUUUCCAAGAUAAUUGUUGAGAAUUAAGCUUCAUUAUGAAAUUGUGAUCAUUUAAGUACAUAUGCUUUAAACCCAAGUAAGAAUUUUGAUAUUUCAUGAAGAGUAUAUUGUUAGCAUGCUUUAACAAGCAAGCAUUCAGAUUUUAAAGAAAGAUUGAUCUUCCGAACCUAAGCUAAGAUAGGAAUCCACAUUAUUUAUGAUUUAAAGCAAAGAGAACUAUAAUUGGUUUUCAUUAUAAACCCUUGUGCUGUUUUAAGGUGAAUUUCCUAAAAGUUCUGAGCAAUAAGUAUGGGAGUAGUAUUUAGCACUGAGUUGGGUAUGAUUCCAAGGUCUCAUUCCCCAAAACUACGAGCCACGUUGGUUCUAAACGCCCAUAGUAGGCUAAGAUAGUGAUCACUAAAGUUAAGGUUCUAUUCCGAUGGCAAGGGUAGAACAGCUCUCUCCAAUGUGGGCAAGACGUUAGACUCCAUGUCAGCUCACAUGGUUUAUGUCGGUUAGAAGAAACUCCCUGAGUCCCAAAGUCCCUAAGUCCCAAAGUUCCAAGAUUUCCAAAGCUCCCAAAGCUUAUGAGUUUCAAAAGAAAAGAAUGAUAGAAAAACUUUUAUAAGACUAAGUGUUAUGACUCACUAGAUUCACAAGUAUGAUUUGUUAUACAUGAUUUUAUAUUUUGAUAUUUUAGAUAAUCAAGCUUAUGUGAGUCAUAUACAUCCACAUGCAUUUACUUUCUAAUUAUGAUGAUGUUUACUUAUGCAUUACACCCUAUAUACUCAGUACAUCCUUAAAGUGCUGAUCCACAUAUAUGUCUAUGAGCUACAUUGUCUUAUAAUGUAGGUUCAGGUGCUCAGUAUCAUCAACGUGAGUAGUUCAAGCAUCUCUAUCUACGCUCCCACAGUUGGUGAGUCCUCAUGAUUUGAGGGCCUACUUUUUCAGAUUUCCAGCUUUCAUAGUAAUUGAGUUAUCAUUUUAAGUUUAGACCGACUCAGUUGGGGGUCUGUCCCAAUGGCUCUCUAGUUCUUUAGUAGUAAAGGCUCGUCGGACUACGAGUUUAAUUACAGACUUUUAGUAUUUGUUAUUCAGACAGUACGUACGUUUAUUCAGUUCAGUUUUUGGUAUAAUAUAAUAUUAUUUCUUGAUUAGAUUAUCUUAAAGUAAGGUUCAGAUCUAGUAGCAGGCUCAAAGGGUUAGCUUGGGACUAUUCAUAGCCUUGAGCACCGUGGGACGUCUUGGGAUUAGAUUUUGGGGCGUUACAGUUAAAGAGGUGCCAUUAUGACCUGACAAACUAGGUCCUGACAUGCUAUCAGCUAGAGACAGUGUUGAUCAGGAGAUUUAGUGAAAACCUAGAUGUGGUCAUUCUAGCAUUUGGUUUGACAAUUGGACGCAAUUAGGAGAUCUUCCGUAUUACUUCCCUAUUAAUCACAACAUUGAUGAGAACUUUGAUGAUAUGAGUUAACUACUAAAUCAAGAAAGUUGGAAUGAAGAAUUAAUGAUGGAUAUUCUUAAUGAAGAUGUUUGUAAUCAGGCGAGACAAGUGAUUAGGGUAAUUCAUAAUAGGGAUGACUGGGAUAAGGCAUGGUGGAUGCUAAGCAGUAUAGGAAAGUUUUCUGUUAAAUAUACGUGGGAGUUACUUAGACAGAGAAGACCACCUCUAGAUUUGAUCACCUCUAGAGUUGACCAUGAUUUUUUGGGAAUCAGGAAUCCCUUUCAUAGUCUCUUUCCUUACUUGAAGUCUUUGGAAGAAAAGGAUUCCUAUUGGAGAGGUUUUAGUGAAAAUAAAAGUGGUUAAAGAUAUGGUUUGUUGUUAAUACAACAAUAGUGAGCAUGAAACUUUUGACCACUUGUUCAUGAAGUGUCUAGAUUCAAACUACUCAUGGAGUAUAUUUGCAGGACCUGUAGGAGUACCUAGUCCUUUUGUGAUGUGGUGGAGUGCAGACACUAGUGCAAAACUGAAGCCUUUGUACUAGGUUGUUCCCAUUUUUAUUGUCUGACAGGUAUGAAAAAGAAGGAAUAGGAUUAGAAAUGGAGGAAGAAUGUAAACGACUAGCUUUUUGAUGAAAUAUGUGAAUUGUGUGUUUUUGUGUAAUUUGAUUGUUUCACCCCUCCCCAUAACUGUAUUAUGGUAUUUUUGGGAUGUAGGGGGUGAUUGGCAUGGUUCUCGAUGCAUUUUGGUACCAUUUAUGUAUAUUGUGGUUUUUGAUGACUUCCAAAGCUUUAUUUUAAACUUAUGUGGAUAUCUUUUGAUCUGUACGAUGGAUGGCUGAACGAACUACGCCAACAACUCCAGAAUAUUAAUUUUAGGCUAGGUAGACCUUUGGUUUGGGUCCUAGUGCAUUCAAGUUCAUUUCGACCUAUUGGUCAGAAAGUUGAAAAAUUGAAAAUAUGGGUGUGGGACCCACGUUUGGUCAAAACAACCUCAGAUAAAAAAUCUAACUUUUCCAGUAGAUUCAAAACGUCGAUUAUAGGGUGAUAACAUAUUUGAUGUGAUUUUACGGCUUUUCAAUCUCAUUUUGACCCUCGAUUUGGAAAAUUAUAAUUUCGGAUUUCGGUUGUCAACUAUGUGAAAAUGAUAUUUUUUUGAAAAUCUGAAAUCACCAUUGAAUUUGGAGAGUCAAAUUUAGUGUGGUUACAUAGUUUGUUUAUUUAUAUUAGACUCCGAACGAAUUCUGAGCACCCCAUCGAAGUUUGUCCGGACUUAUAAAAAAAUUGGUGUAGAUUUUUCUGCAUUAUUAAUAGCAGUUUUCAAGCCCAUUUUGUUCAUUUUUCAUCUGGCCUCUUGAGAGUUAAACCCUAAAAAUAGUGUGGGAGCUUAAAAGUGAAGCUUGUGGAAGCUUGGGAAGCAAGAUUAACAUCUAUUUCUUGAUUCUAUUACGGAUUUAAGGUAAGAAUUCAACAUAUUCUUAGUCAUUUCUUGAUUAAUUUCUCAACACCUCAAAAAUCUUAGGGCUUGAUUUUAAACCUCAAUUUCACUCCUUUUUCACUUGAAUAAUAUUUUAAUCUUAUAAUUAUGAGUGUUUCAUCAAUUUAACAUUCAAAACAAUUCCAAUUCUUAGUUUUCACCCGAAUUUCAAAGAUUUUAUCUAGUACAACUUAAAAAUAGUUUUUCUUUGAUUUUAACCUUAUUUUUGACUCGAUUUGACUUGAAUUUUCAUAUGUAGGAUCCUACAAAUAUGGGAAACACGUUUUUGAAGUAAAGUUAUGAUUUUGCUCUUCUUUUUCAAAAAUCCAUUUCGGGGAGUUUGUUUUGACCCCGAACCAAAAAAAUUACUCAAUAUGGGUGUCGUUGAUUUUGUUUUGAUGCGUAGAUUCCAUAUUUGAUGUUUUUAGUGAAGCUCGGUACCAUUUGUGAGGAGUAAAACUUUGGGAGCAAAGUCUUGAUUCCGAUAUUUUAGUUUUUGAGGUAGGUUAUGACUUAACUCUUUCAGACUGGGCUAGUAGUAAAUGAUGGUAGAAAAUACAUGUUGAGGCUGAGAACUAAUCAUGAAAAAUGGGUAUCUAUGUGUGUUUCCAUGUGGGGGCCUAUAUGUAAUGUAAUUGUUGAAAUUAAGAUAUUAUGUGAUAGUGUGAUCGUGUGCGAUCCUAUGUGAUGUAGAUAGCCUUAAAUAUAUAUGAAUAAUUGUAUUGUGUUGUUGAAAUGUCUAAUGUGAUGUCAUUGGUGUAUUGAGAUAUAUUCAUACUUGUUAUAUGAGACGUGUAAAUUCAUGGAUGAAACAAAAAUAAUAAGUGAAUUAUUGGCUCAUGUGGUUGUGGAAAUGUAUAAUUAUGGUUGGUUGUGGAAAUAUAUUAUUGUGGCUGGUUAUGAAAAUACUCAUUGUGAUUGGUUGUGGUCAUUACAUCUUCAUAUCAUACUCAUUCAUGAAACAUUGGUACCACCAUGGCAACAUCUGAAAAACACUGACAAUACCUUUAAUAAAACCCUCCCCAAGGGAAGUGCUGGGAGGAGAUAUUGCAACACCUUAUAAAACUCUUUCCGAGAGACAUGUCAAAAAGUUCAUAUGAGAUAUGUGGAUUGUAUACGGAUUGACGAACUCCCCAUGGGUCCUAUCCUACAUCGAGAAGCUUUAGUUCCGUAGGUGUAUACAGGGAUUGUGCGACGAUCCCGGAGGUUGUGCAACGACCUCGUGCAUCAUCAUCAUUAUCAUAUACAUUGUACUUACUUUAUUAUGUUUAUGUUGUUUUGUAUUGCCAUAUUGACUUGUCAUCUAUGUAUUUCUCUUACCUUCCUUUACUUAUAUUUGAUGAUCUUGUAUCCACAUGUUCUCCUUUGUUCUACUUAUAUGUGGCAUAAUGCAUUCUUGUGUUCUAUCUUGGUGUGUUAUUGUAAUAUAGGUGAUAUAUUAGAACUGUUAGUGUAACCGGUGUAAGCUAUCGUUGUGAGAUAUUUUCUGAUUACAGAUGACAUACCCUUAGUGUGUAUUUUGUAUGCUUCAUUUUUUCUACUUUGCUUGGUUGGUCUAUGAUACCUACUUAGUAUAAGUGGACCGUACUCACUCCUACUUCAUCCUUUUGGUGCACCUUUAGGUUCGAGUGCGCCUUAGACUAGUUAAUUUUUGGGCACCUUCAGAUUACUCAAGGUAGCGGUUGGACAUUCAUACGUCCGUAGUUCACCUCUAUCUUUCUAUAUUAGUUAUGUCUUUAUUAGUAUUUGGAGACAGAUAUUAUUCCUUUGUGGUUAUUUUUCUGAUGUAUUUGACUCCUGGAUAGUAUUAGUAGUUCUUACACCAUUGACAACAGGUUUUGGGAGUUAUGGCUGCAUGUGUUGAUUUUAUUUUUUCCACUUGUAUUAUAUCUAUAUGGUUCAGCUUUAUUCUAGAAGCCUUAUCUUGGGGGGCAUUUCUAUUUUUUUUUGUGUGUAUCAGUUUGGGUGAGACUUACUUGUCAAGGUUCGCCGCGACAAGUGCCAUCAUGACCCUUAUUUUUGGGUCGUGACAAGGAAUGUUAAAACAUGACAUGGUUAUGGAGAUUAACAGGAAUCUGUAUAUGUUUCCAAAAUUAGAUUCCCUUGGCUUAAGGAAAUCCCUGAUUCAUGGCCAAUGAUAGUUAAAAUGUUUGAAGAGUACACCCUCAUUGUUUCUUGCAAAAUUGUCUGACGGAAACAUCCGUAAAGGGAUUACAAAUGUAAUUUAGAUGGGGCAUAAAUAGAAUUCUGGGCCUUAUGCUAGUGGCUUUUGCAUAAAAAAUAAAGAUGAAGACUUUAUUUAUGCUGCAUCAAACACAGUUAAAGAGGGGUCUGGACUAGAAGCUGAGGUGAAAGCUAUGAGAUUAGCCCGGGAGUUUUGUAUAGGCAAAAAUCUGUUACCUCUGACCAUGGAAAUAUAUUCCCUCAUAAUCAAUAAGAUUCUUGAUGGUAUAUGAGAGAUGCCCUGGACAAUUACCAUAGAGAUAAUAAGGAUAAAACAAUUGAUGGAGAAUAAUUUGGAGGAUGUGGAGCAUACAUUUCGAGAAGGCAAUAAAUUGACCGAUUUUUUCACUAACAUUAUUUUUAGUUUUGCAGGUACAAAUAACAUACAAUUUAGCUCAAUACAGGAGGUUCUGGAAUAAGAAAGGAAAAUCAUAAAUUUAGAGAAAAACAAAACUACAUAUUUAAGGAUAAGGAAACGUCACAACAGGUGUUUCAAUCAACCACAGGGACAAACACAAUCACACAAGCAGAUUGAUUUAAACAUACAAAUAACCAGCUGAAGUGGGCUAUAAUAAAAAUGAACUGAGAAAGUAGGAAGAAAGGACUUGCCCUUUAGCUCUGAGCCUUUUGCAGAGGUAUUAGCUUCAAGGAGAUCAUUUUGCAAAGGGUAAGGAAAUGAAAAAAAAAUCAAUCAAAAAAGCAUUUCAUACCAAAUUAUGGGAAUUGGAAUUUGACUUUACCUCAUCGUGAAGAGCUGGAAUACUGGUAAUGAGCUGAAGAAGUCUUCAACGAGUUGAAUUCAUGGCGCCUGUGAGAAUUUGUUGGGUGUUUAAGUUAACAUCAGUCAAUCACACUGAUGAUAUAAACCGUCUUCUACGAGAUGAUAAGAUCAAUGAGAUCUAUGGGUGCAGCAGUUCGCAAGUCACCGACAAUGGUUGGCCGAUCAACCAGGGAUUUAGUACUUUGGAGCUUUUACAGAUUUCCUAAUUUGGUUGUAAAUAUUAGCUUAGACUUGUUUUGUCUGUUUUUUGUUAUUUCGGGUAUGGGCUUUGGUCUCUUUUGGGACAUUGCCCAUUACCAUUUGAACCUUUGUUUUCUGAUUUUCUAAUAAAUGGCAUGGCCCGUAUUUACUUUAAACUACCCUCCUUCAUCAUAAAAAAUAUUUCACUUUAUUCAAGAAUUGUGGUUUGGUUAUAAAAU
rnacentral:lncRNA from 1 species